GAUCAUGGCUCAGAUUGAACGCUGGCGGCAGGCUAAUACAUGCAAGGUCGAACGGUAACGGCAGGAAGCUUGCUCCUGGCUGACGAGUGGCGGACGGGUGAGUAAUACCUGGGGAGCUGCCUGAAUGAGGGGGACAACACCUGGAAACGGGUGCUAAUACCGCGUAAGCCCUGAGGGGGAAAGGCCGGGCAACCGGUCGCAUUCAGAUGCGCCCAGGUGGGAUUAGCUAGUUGGUGGGGUAACGGCCUACCAAGGCGACGAUCUCUAGCUGGUCUGAGAGGAUGAUCAGCCACGCUGGAACUGAGACACGGUCCAGACUCCUACGGGAGGCAGCAGUAGGGAAUAUUGCACAAUGGGGGGAACCCUGAUGCAGCCAUGCCGCGUGUGUGAAGAAAGGCCUUUGGGUUGUAAAGCACUUUCAGUAUGGAGGAAGUGAGCUGAGUUAAUAGCUUAGUUCAUUGACGUUACAUACAGAAGAAGCACCGGCUAACUCCGUGCCAGCCGCCGC
rnacentral:rRNA from 1 species